UCCAUGGGGUGCAAACGUUGCUCGGAAUCAUUGGGCGUCAAGCGCGUGAAGGCGGUUACUUAAGUCGGAUGUGAAAGCCCUCGGCUUAACUGAGGAAGUGCAUCCGAAACUGGGUAGCUAGAGUACGAAAGAGGGUCGCGGAAUUCCCGGUGUAGAGGUGAAAUUCGUAGAUAUCGGGAGGAACACCGGUAGCGAAGGCGGCGACCUGGGUCGAGACUGACGCUAAUACGCGAAAGCGUGGGGAGCGAACAGG
rnacentral:rRNA from 1 species